GACGAACGCUGGCGGCGUGCUUAACACAUGCAAGUCGAGCGGAAAGGCCACUUCGGUGGUACUCGAGCGGCGAACGGGUGAGUAACACGUGAGUAAUCUGCCCCUGGCUUUGGGAUAGCCACCGGAAACGGUGAUUAAUACCGGAUAUGACCACUUCACGCAUGUGAUGGUGGUGGAAAGUUUUUCGGCCAGGGAUGUGCUCGCGGCCUAUCAGCUUGAUGGUGAGGUAAUGGCUCACCAUGGCUUCGACGGGUAGCCGGCCUGAGAGGGUGACCGGUCACACUGGGACUGAGACACGGCCCAGACUCCUACGGGAGGCAGCAGUGGGGAAUAUUGGACAAUGGGCGGAAGCCUGAUCCAGCAACGCCGCGUGAGGGAUGACGGCCUUCGGGUUGUAAACCUCUUUCGCCUGUGACGAAGCGCAAGUGACGGUAACAGGUAAAGAAGCGCCGGCCAACUACGUGCCAGCAGCCGCGGUAA
rnacentral:rRNA from 1 species